GUUAAAAUACCAGUUCCCAUAUGAUCACCAAAUUUAAGCAAUGUUGAGCUUGGUAAGUAUCUAGAUGGGUGACUACUUUGGAAUAUUAGGUGCUGUAA